rnacentral:SRP_RNA from 1 species
GGGCAGGCCCGGCGCGGCAGGACUUUGUGAACCUCGUCAGAUCCGAGAGGAAGCAGCGAUAAGCGAACGUUCCUGGGUGCCGCCGGUAUCCUGCCCGGA